AGCGCCAUUUUCAGAGCUAUCAGUGCCAGCGGGUCAUAGCUCUUUAAAUGGUUCUGC
rnacentral:pre_miRNA from 1 species